rnacentral:rRNA from 1 species
AGAGUUUGAUCCUAGCUCAGGAUGAACGCUGGCGGCAUGCCUAAUACAUGCAAGUCGAACGAGGGUCCUUCGGGACUCGAGUGGCGAACGGGUGAGUAACACGUAGGGAACCUGCCCGUGCGACCGGGAGAACUUUCGGAAACGGAAGCUGAUACCGGAUAGGGACAGAGACGGCAUCGACUCUGUGUUAAAGGAGCUGAAAGGCUCCGCGCACGGAUGGACCUGCGGUGCAUUAGCUAGUUGGUGAGGUAACGGCCCACCAAGGCGACGAUGCAUAGCCGGCCUGAGAGGGCGGACGGCCACACUGGGACUGAGACACGGCCCAGACUCCUACGGGAGGCAGCAGUAGGGAAUUUUCGUCAAUGGGCGCAAGCCUGAACGAGCAAUGCCGCGUGAACGAGGAAGGUCUUCGGAUCGUAAAGUUCUGUUGAAGGGGAAAAAGAGCGGAGAGAGGAAAUGAACUCCGAUUGAUAUUACCCUUCGAGGAAGUCACGGCUAACUACGUGCCAGCAGCCGCGGUAAUACGUAGGUGGCGAGCGUUAUCCGGAAUGAUUGGGCGUAAAGGGUGCGUAGGCGGCCUGCUAAGUCUGGAGUGAAAGGUACCGGCUCAACCGGUACAGGCUCUGGAAACUGGCGGGCUAGAGAGCAGGAGAGGGCGGUGGAACUCCAUGUGUAGCGGUAAAAUGCGUAGAUAUAUGGAAGAACACCAGUGGCGAAGGCGGCCGCCUGGCCUGUUACUGACGCUGAGGCACGAAAGCGUGGGGAGCAAAUAGGAUUAGAUACCCUAGUAGUCCACGCCGUAAACGAUGAGGACCAAGUGUUGGGGGAAGACCCAGUGCUGCAGUUAACGCAGUGAGUCCUCCGCCUGGGGAGUAUGCACGCAAGUGUGAAACUCAAAGGAAUUGACGGGGGCCCGCACAAGCGGUGGAGUAUGUGGUUUAAUUCGAAGCAACGCGAAGAACCUUACCAGGCCUUGACAUAGGGUGCGAAGCUAUGGAGACAUAGUGGAGGUAAACAUCCAUACAGGUGGUGCAUGGUUGUCGUCAGCUCGUGUCGUGAGAUGUUCAGUUAAGUCUGGCAACGAGCGCAACCCUCGUGAUGUGUUACCAAUAUCGAGUUAGGGACUCACAUCAGACUGCCGGUGAGAAACCGGAGGAAGGCGGGGAGGACGUCAAAUCAUCAUGCCCCUUAUGGCCUGGGCUACACACGUACUACAAUGGCGGCGACAGAGGGCAGCGAGCCUGCGAAGGCAAGCGAAUCCCCAAAAAGCCGUCCCAGUUCGGAUUGGAGUCUGCAACCCGACUCCAUGAAGUUGGAAUCGCUAGUAAUCGCGGAUCAGCAUGCCGCGGUGAAUACGUUCUCGGGCCUUGCACACACCGCCCGUCA